rnacentral:tRNA from 1 species
GGGGAUGUGGUGGAACUGGUAGACACGUAGAUUUGAGGGGUCUAUGGGGCAACCCGUGAGAGUUCGAGUCUCUCCAUCCCCACCA